rnacentral:rRNA from 1 species
GACGAACGCUGGCGGCGUGCUUAACACAUGCAAGUCGAACGGUGAAGCGCCUUCCUUUUUUGUGUGUUUUUAUGAGUGGCGAACGGGUUAGUAACACGUGAGUAACCUUCUCCCUUCUUCUUGAUAACCGCAUGCAAGUGUUGCUAAUACGGGAUAUUCUGGGUCUGUCGCAUGAUGGGUCUGGGAAAGAUUUUGUUUCGGUGGUGGAUGGGUUCGCGGUCUAUUAGCUUGUUGGUGGGGUGAUGGCCUACCAAGGCAGCGAUGGAUAGCCGCCCUGAGAGGGGGAUCGACGGCCCAAGUGCGACGGAGACACGGACAAGACUACGACGGGAGGCAGCAGUGGGGAAUACUGAACAGGGGGAGGAAGGACGGUGCAGCGACGCGUCGGGGGGGAUGGAGGUCUUCGGGUUGUGAACCUCUUUCGCGAGUGAAGCAGGCUUGACUCGUUUGUGGGUGGCUUGACGGUAGCUGGACAAGAAGCGACGGCUAACUACGUG